GGCUCACCAAGGCGACGAUCGGUAGGUGGUCUGAGAGGACGAUCACCCAGACUGGGACUGAGACACGGCCCAGACUCCUACGGGAGGCAGCAGUCGGGAAUUUUGGGCAAUGGGCGAAAGCCUGACCCAGCAACGCCGCGUGAGGGAUGAAGGCCUUCGGGUCGUAAACCUCUUUUCUCAGGGAAGAUAAUGACGGUACCUGAGGAAGAAGCCACGGCUAACUACGUGCCAGCAGCCGCGGUAAUACGUAGGUGGCGAGCGUUGUCCGGAUUUACUGGGCGUAAAGAGCGCGCAGGCGGUCGGAUUAGUCGAAUGUGAAAGCCCCCGGCUUAACUGGGGAGGGUCAUUCGAUACUGUUCGACUCGAAGGCAGGAGAGGGAAGCGGAAUUCCCGGUGUAGUGGUGAAAUGCGUAGAUAUCGGGAGGAACACCAGUGGCGAAGGCGGCUUCCUGGCCUGUUCUUGACGCUGAGGCGCGAAAGCUAGGGUAGCAAACGGGAUUAGAUACCCCGGUAGUCCUAGCCGUAAACGAUGGACACUAGGUGUUGGCGGUAUCAACCCCGCCAGUGCCGUAGCUAACGCAUUAAGUGUCCCGCCUGGGGAGUACGGCCGCAAGGCUA
rnacentral:rRNA from 1 species